rnacentral:misc_RNA from 1 species
GAAAUGCGAUAAGUAAUGUGAAUUGCAGAAUUCCAGUGAAUCAUCGAAUCUUUGAACGCACAUUGCGCCCAUUAGCAUUCUAACGGGCAUGCCUGUUCGAGCGUCAUUUCAACCCUCAGGCCCUAGCCGGCCUGGCGUUGGGGCAUCUGCGGGUGACCGCAGGCCCUGAAAGAUAGUGGCGGUGUCCGCUAGCACUCCGGGCGCAGUAGGUGUCUUUCUCGCCGAGGACUGUCUUGCGGGCUGCCGGCCGUAAAACACCCCCUAAAUGAUGGAAGGUUGACCUCGGAUCAGGUAGGAAUACCCGCUGAACUUAA